UGAGGAAUAUUGGUCAAUGGGCGAGAGCCUGAACCAGCCAAGUAGCGUGCAGGAUGACGGCCCUAUGGGUUGUAAACUGCUUUUACGCGGGGAUAAAGUGCGUGAGGUGUCGCGCAUCGCAGGUACCGCGUGAAUAAGGACCGGCUAAUUCCGUGCCAGCAGCCGCGGUAAUACGGAAGGUCCGGGCGUUAUCCGGAUUUAUUGGGUUUAAAGGGAGCGCAGGCCGCCCGAUAAGCGUGUUGUGAAAUGUACCGGCUCAACCGGUGAGUUGCAGCGCGAACUGUCAGGCUUGAGUGCACGGUAAGCAGGCGGAAUUCAUGGUGUAGCGGUGAAAUGCUUAGAUAUCAUGAGGAACUCCGAUUGCGAAGGCAGCUUGCUGCAGUGCGACUGACGCUUAGGCUCGAAGGUGCGGGUAUCAAACAGG
rnacentral:rRNA from 1 species